rnacentral:rRNA from 1 species
GACGAACGCUGGCGGCGUGCUUAACACAUGCAAGUCGAGCGGAAAGGCCCUUCGGGGUCCUCGAGCUGCGAACGGGUGAGUAACACGUGAGUAACCUGCCCUAGACUUUGGGAUAACCCUCGGAAACGGGGGCUAAUACCGGAUACUCCUUCUAAAUCGCAUGAUUUGUUUGGGAAAGUUUUUCGGUCUGGGAUGGACUCGCGGCCUAUCAGCCUGUUGGUGGGGUAAUGGCCUACCAAGGCGAGGACGGGUAGCCGGCCUGAGAGGGCGACCGGCCACACUGGGACGGAGACACGGCCCAGACUAAUACGGGAGGCAGGAGUGGGGAAUAUUGAACAAUGGGCGGAAGCAUGAUGCAGGGACGCCGGGUGAGGGAAGACGGCAUUCGGGUGGUAAACAUCUUUCAGCAGGGACGAAGCGUAAGUGACGGUACCUGCAGAAGAAGCGCCGGCCAACUACGU